rnacentral:rRNA from 1 species
GACGAACGCUGGCGGCGUGCCUAAUACAUGCAAGUCGAGCGAAGUUUUUCUGGUGCUUGCACUAGAAAAACUUAGCGGCGAACGGGUGAGUAACACGUAAAGAACCUGCCUCAUAGACUGGGACAACUAUUGGAAACGAUAGCUAAUACCGGAUAACAGUAUUUCUCGCAUGAGAGAUAUUUAAAAGUUGGUUAUGCUAACGCUAUGAGAUGGCUUUGCGGUGCAUUAGCUAGUUGGUGGGGUAAAGGCCCACCAAGGCGACGAUGCAUAGCCGACCUGAGAGGGUGAUCGGCCACACUGGGACUGAGACACGGCCCAGACUCCUACGGGAGGCAGCAGUAGGGAAUCUUCCGCAAUGGGCGAAAGCCUGACGGAGCAACGCCGCGUGAGUGAAGAAGGAUUUCGGUUCGUAAAGCUCUGUUGUUAGGGAAGAAUGGAUAUGUAGUAACUAUACAUAUAAGAGACGGUACCUAACCAGAAAGCCACGGCUAACUACGUGCCAGCAGCCGCGGUAAUACGUAGGUGGCAAGCGUUGUCCGGAAUUAUUGGGCGUAAAGCGCGCGCAGGUGGUUUAAUAAGUCUGAUGUGAAAGCCCACGGCUCAACCGUGGAGGGUCAUUGGAAACUGUUAAACUUGAGUGCAGGAGAGAAAAGUGGAAUUCCUAGUGUAGCGGUGAAAUGCGUAGAGAUUAGGAGGAACACCAGUGGCGAAGGCGGCUUUUUGGCCUGUAACUGACACUGAGGCGCGAAAGCGUGGGGAGCAAACAGG